CAAAUUACUCUCUCACUGUCACACUUCUCUCACCGCCACACUUCUCUACAGCGGCACUUCUCUGCCGUCUACAGCGGCACGUCUCCUCACAACUCUGUAAACUUCAGCUACUCACCAGAUUCAAAAUGGGAUAGGUGUUCUAAGGUAAUGUUUUCCACUUCUCACCUCUUUGAAUAAUGAACCUACCUCACAUUUUUGGAUUUUCUCAUCUGAAUCUUCACAAAUUGUACAAAUUACUGGUUGUAUUUACUAGAUAAGUUUAUUUUUUGGUUGUUUGUAUAGAUGCAUGGAGGUAGAAUUAGGUUAAUUUUGUUGUAUUCUUCAUGGAUGAAAAUUUUGAAAUAUCAAAUUUGAGCAUGUAUUUUGUGGUAGAAUUAGGUUUAUUUUGUUAUAAUUUUGGUGAUUCUACAGAUUCUUCGAGACAUUCUGUGUCUACAGAUUUUUUGGGACCACUUUGUCUCAAAUGGUGUCGCUAACAGGUGCCUUGUUUCUUCGUAAAAUUUGGAGUUGUCGUCUCCGUCGAUCCUUGUUUAAGCUGGAGUAAGGUGUAUAUAGUUUCCCUUUUUGUUUGUUAAUUAAUUCUUCUUUAGCUGUUACAUGUGCCCUCAAUCUUCACUUAUCUCUGUAUACUUGUAUUCAUACAUUAUAUUCUUAUUGAUUUGUAUCUUCAUUUUUUUCUUCUAAAUCACUAAUUUAUCAUUCUUCUAAAUUUGCAUGUCUUUGCUUAUUUGUUGUAUCUCUUCAAUCCAAUUGACUAUAUUCCAAGGUAGUUUGCAUUUAUCCACAAGUAUUCUUUGUAAAUAUAUUGAAUAUGGUUGGAUCAUGAUAUGAUCCAAAUGUUUGUUAUUACAAUGCUUGAUAGCUUCUAGGAUAGCCAGUGUCUCAGAUUAUUUUGGCCCUUACCAUAUCUGUAAUUCUGGCCAGGAGAAAGCAUAUCUAAAAGGUCAUAAACAGACUUCCUCUGUAGAAAAACAUCCCAUUUUGGACCAAAGUGUGUCCUACAUUGUUCCUGUAUUGUUUUAUAUAAACAAAUGUAUAAUCUUAUAGAAAAUGUUCCUUUGUUUAAUUUAUCAGGUCCGAUCCCUCUCCAAUAUUUGGAACUGAAAUUAACGAGAGAGCUUCUAGAUCUUCAAGGAUAAAGAAAGUUGAGGUACUCUUUCAUUUGCUUAGAUCACUAUAAUUUCUCAGUGGUUAGGCCUCUAGGGAAAUAGUUGAGGCCUCAAGUUCAUCUGAUGCUUAUGCUUAAAGUCAACUACAGUAGUAAUAAAUAGAGAUAAAUAGACAUUUGCUCUCAGAUACUGAAUGUUCUUGUUUAAUUUAUCAGGUCUGGCCCCUUUUCAAUAUUUGCUUUAUCUGGAACUGGAAUUAACGGGAGAGCUUCUAGAUCUUCAGGGAUAAAGAAAGUUGAGGUACUCUUUCCAUUUCUGCAUAUAAUGUUACAUAAAAAUUGUUAAAUAUGUCUGUAAUCUUAUAAUUUUCUCAUGAAAAUCUUAUAGGUGAUAUUGUCUGCUAAUCUUGUUUUUUUUUAUGGAUAAAUCUUGGAUUAGAAUGCCAAGGACCACAAAAGAAUAUUUGGUUGGCUUGAAUCAGUUCCUAGAAUUUGCAUUUAAAAAUGGAGCUAUAGAAGAUAGAAUAAAAUGUCCGUGUCCUCAAUGUUGUUUUGGCAAAUGGAAGACUAGAGAUAUAGUGUUUGAACAUUUGACUUGCAAGCCAUUUGAUCGCGUCUUUGAUCAAAUCAUAGUGGUAUAAACUCUAUAUUCUGACUACUAUACCUAUAUUCUUUUCUUGGACUUUUAUAUUUGGAUUUAAUAGAUAAGCUAACUAGUGUUUAUUCUUGAAGCCUUGAUUUUUUUCCGAGACAACCGACGAUAAGCUAACUAGUGCUUAUUCUGGAUCCACUGUGUUUUCUAGUGACAUAUCUAUUGAGAUUAGCUUCUUUAUUUCUGGCAAAGUUUUAUGGGCAAGGCAGCACUCAUGGUCUAGAACAUAUUUUCCAGGAUUGCUUCUGGAGCUUAGAAUGUGGAGUGUUGUUUGGUCUGAAUUAGGAAAAAAGAAUGUGGAAAUAUGAGUAUUUGUCUAUAGAACUUUGUGGAGUGUUGUUUGGUCUGGAUUAAUGCAAGAACAAGAUAAAAACUUGUGAUUCUUUUACUAUUAUGUGCAAUAAAGAAGUAGCAAGGUCCAGAACAUAUUUUUGCAUAUUCUUGUAUGUUAGUAUUGACCUAUUUGUUUAUGAUUGGCAUUUGUAUUGACAUUCAUAGUAGAGAAUUUAGUAUUUGUUUACAUACUGUUAUUGACAUACAAUAUGUAAGUAUUUUUUUUAUAAAUCACCAUAAUGGUUGGAUUAGGUUUCAGUCCUAAUCAUUUUAUUGCAUUCAAAAGAGGUUACAAAAGAAGGGUGAGAGCAUUUAUCAUAUUACUUAUUGUGUAUUUUUCUUUGUAGACAGAUGAUGCUAGUGACAGUAGUCGUAGUGACAAUCGUUGAAGUUCCAUGAAUAGUUGCAGGUCAUUUCUUGAGUAUGGAUGCUAGUGAACCCUUUUCAUCAAUAAAAGCAAGAUUAGCGAAUGACAGUUUUUGUAGUGAUUUGAAGUUUCUUGUAAUCGUAAUGGUUGAAGUGAAUGGUAUGUUUCAAUUUAGUUUGUAAAACUAAUAGUACACUUUAUGAUAUAUUUUUUUGUUGAAAUAUUUUGUUAUUUCUUAAUACUAAUAAGCCCUUUUAGGUUUGACUAUGAUGUACAUGUUAAUUAGUCAUUAAUAUUUAAAAUAGAUUUUUUCUAGC
rnacentral:lncRNA from 1 species